UACGGAGGGGACUAGCGUUGUCCGGAUUUACUGGGCGUAAAGAGCGCGCAGGCGGUCGUUCAAGUCGCGUGUGAAAGCCCCCGGCUCAACUGGGGAGGGUCACGCGAUACUGAUCGACUCGAAGGCAGGAGAGGGUAGUGGAAUUCCCGGUGUAGUGGUGAAAUGCGUAGAUAUCGGGAAGAACACCCGUGGCGAAGGCGGUUCUCUGGGACGGUACUGACGCUGAGACGCGAAAGCGUGGGGAGCGAACAGG
rnacentral:rRNA from 1 species